GAGUUGGUAGCUCAGUGGUUGAGUGCAUGCUAUGUAUGUAUGAUGUCCUGGGUUCAAUCCCCAGGUCGCCG
rnacentral:tRNA from 1 species